GCAGUCGAGCGGAACGAGUUAUCUGAACCUUCGGGGAACGAUAACGGCGUCCCCUUAUAGACGGGUGAGUAAUGCCUAGGAAAUUGCCCUGAUGUGGGGGAUAACCAUUGGAAACGAUGGCUAAUACCGCAUAACGCCUACGGGCCAAAGAGGGGGACCUUCGGGCCUCUCGCGUCAGGAUAUGCCUAGGUGGGAUUAGCUAGUUGGUGAGGUAAGGGCUCACCAAGGCGACGAUCCCUAGCUGGUCUGAGAGGAUGAUCAGCCACACUGGAACUGAGACACGGUCCAGACUCCUACGGGAGGCAGCAGUGGGGAAUAUUGCACAAUGGGCGCAAGCCUGAUGCAGCCAUGCCGCGUGUGUGAAGAAGGCCUUCGGGUUGUAAAGCACUUUCAGUCGUGAGGAAGGCAGUAUCGUUAAUAGCGGUAUUGUUUGACGUUAGCGACAGAAGAAGCACCGGCUAACUCCGUGCCAGCAGCCGCGGUAAUACGGAGGGUGCGAGCGUUAAUCGGAAUUACUGGGCGUAAAGCGCAUGCAGGUGGUUUGUUAAGUCAGAUGUGAAAGCCCGGGGCUCAACCUCGGAAUAGCAUUUGAAACUGGCAGACUAGAGUACUGUAGAGGGGGGUAGAAUUUCAGGUGUAGCGGUGAAAUGCGUAGAGAUCUGAAGGAAUACCGGUGGCGAAAGCGGCCCCCUGGACAGAUACUGACACUCAGAUGCGAAAGCGUGGGGAGCAAACAGGAUUAGAUACCCUGGUAGUCCACGCCGUAAACGAUGUCUACUUGGAGGUUGUGGCCUUGAGCCGUGGCUUUCGGAGCUAACGCGUUAAGUAGACCGCCUGGGGAGUACGGUCGCAAGAUUAAAACUCAAAUGAAUUGACGGGGGCCCGCACAAGCGGUGGAGCAUGUGGUUUAAUUCGAUGCAACGCGAAGAACCUUACCUACUCUUGACAUCCAGAGAACUUUCCAGAGAUGGAUUGGUGCCUUCGGGAACUCUGAGACAGGUGCUGCAUGGCUGUCGUCAGCUCGUGUUGUGAAAUGUUGGGGUUAAGUCCCGCAAC
rnacentral:rRNA from 1 species